AAGAGAUUGUCUGAAAAUGUUCAGUUCCAGGUGAAAAACAUACUACGUACCACCAGGUCUCUCUGAGAUGUGCAUCUCUCAAAGACGAAGACUCAUCCAAGUGCACUCAUCCCUCGGGAAGGAGUGAAGGUUGGGAGGAGCCAGGUGUGUUACUGUGAUAAAGCUCCCUUGGCUUGGAAAGAAACAACAGGGGCAGAAAGAAUAGCAGGAAAAAGAGCCCUGAAGCACAGAGGUCAUGGUGGAAUUUUAAGUUAUUCAGGAUCGCUGAAAUGAAGAAGGAGAAAGCAGG